ACAUAUGAAUUGGAUUAUAGUAUAAUAUUAAUGACAUUUGCUAACUUGAACAUUUGAUGUGGUGAUGGUAACUACAAUAGAUCUACAUCAGAUGUCUGACUUCUAUAAACUGAGUGGUUGAUAUGGAAACAGUAAUUGUCAUCAAUCUAAAUCAGAAUGGUGUGAACUAAGGAACAAGAGUUCUGAUGUCUGCUUACUGUACAGACAGUAGUUCAAGAGGACUAGAUCAGGUCAUGUAUUCACAUUUAUUAUCUCCCCUAGUUUUUAGUUUGUUUAAUAUGUUUCAGAUGAUCCUUCAGAUUUGAAGAGUAUUACAUCCCAGUCCAAACUUUUCACAGGAUGACUGGGGAUUAACCCAAUCCAGAGCAUGACCAGGCAGUCAUCCUAUACGUUAAAGUGUUGCAUGGGUCUCAUACAUUACACUUAAUUUCUUAUAUUUAUUAUUUAUAUUAGUUGAUUCUGACCCAUUUAAACAUACAAUCUAAUGCUUGGUAAAUUGUAUUUCUUAGAAAUGUUCAACCAUUAGUGUUAUCAUAUGCUGCAUUGUUUAUAAAUUACGAUAAUAUGAUGCAUUUAGUAGAAAACCUAAGUAAAGAUUUGUCAUAAACUAAAUUCUCAAUGAAAGCUUAAGAAUUACUCAGUAACUAAAAAAAUAUUAUAAAAUCAUUUUUAAUAAAUUAAUUUGAUACUAAUUAAAAGACAAA
rnacentral:sRNA from 1 species